GAUGAAGAACGUAGCGAAAUGCGAUACGUAGUGUGAAUUGCAGAAUUCAGUGAAUCAUCGAAUCUUUGAACGCACAUUGCACCUCUCGGUAUUCCGGGAGGUAUGCCUGUUCGAGCGUCAUUUGUACCCUCAAGCUCUGCUUGGUGUUGGGCGUUUGUUCCGCCUCUGUGUGUGAACUCGCCUCAAAACAAUUGGCAGCCGGCGUACUUGUUUCGGAGCGCAGCACAUUUUGCGAUCCAGAUCAACGUACAGCGGCAUCCAAGAAGCCUUAUUUAACGCUCUUGACCUCGGAUCAGGUAGGGAUACCCGCUGAACUUAAGCAUAUCAAUAAGCGGAGGA
rnacentral:misc_RNA from 1 species